AGAGUUUGAUCAUGGCUCAGAACGAACGCUGGCGGCAGGCUUAACACAUGCAAGUCGAACGGAUGUAGCAAUACAUUAGUGGCGCACGGGUGAGUAACGCGUGGGAACGUGCCUUUUGGUUAGGAAUAACGUCGGGAAACUGACGCUAAUACCUGAUACGCCCUUCGGGGGAAAGAUUUAUCGCCAAAAGAUCGGCCCGCGUUAGAUUAGGUAGUUGGCGGGGUAACGGCCCACCAAGCCGAAGACGGGUAGCGGGUGUGAGAGCACGGCCCGCGACAUCGGAACUGAGACACUGUCCGGACUUCUACGGAAGGCUGCAGUAACGAAUCUUCCGCAAGUGGGACGAAAGCCUGACGGAGCAAUGCCGCGUGUGGGAUGAAGCGUCUCUGACGUAGUAAACCACUGUCAGGGGUUGGAAACAAUGAUCGACCCCAAAGGAAGUGGCGACUAACUCUGUG
rnacentral:rRNA from 1 species